GAUCAUAUUAUUUUAGUGACAACUCAUAAAUAACUACUAAUAACUCACGUUAGGGACAUCUGUUUCGGUUUUCUUACGAAUUUGUUUUUUUAA